rnacentral:lncRNA from 1 species
GGAGAUGGACAUGGACAGGGGCUGAAACUGCAGUACCAGCAGAUGGGGAGCUUAAGAAGGAAGCUAGUUCAUGGCACAGCACCCGUAAAGUCCCCAGAAUUGGAGGCACCAGAUUCUUCUGAAAGAAAAGGAGCAAUUCAGCACUUGUCAUGCAGAUAAGAGGUCAACACCCCAGGACGGAGUGAAAACCUAAGUGGUGACAAUCGGCUCCUUCCGCACCUGUAAGAGCAAAUUUGGUUCUGCCACUGUCUGAUUGCCUGGUGCUCACAGUUCACUUCCCUGUCAAGCCAGGUCAUCCUAAUACCAGAGAGGACUUCACUUCUCCCUAGCAAUGACCAAUUCUGUGAAACUGAUUACUCCAAACUGUAUGUAUAGACUUAGCAAUGAGGAAAGGCUUUGCCAGAUCAUCUUUUAAAACUAAACCUCAACUUCGAUGUGCUCUCUGUGCUCCAACCACACCUGUCUUUUUCCUUGUUCCUCAAUGGUGUCAUGUUUCUGUUACAGGGUCUUAGCAUAAGCUAUUUCUUCUGCCUGGAGGGCGCAUCCCCCAACCAUCACAUGACUGGCCACAUUGCUCAGACUUUAGCCUAGAUGUCACCUCUUCAGAGAAGCCUUCUCUGACCACCUUAUUUAAUGUUGAUCACUCCACCUGCAGCCCAAACACCAGCUAAUAAAUUCCCUCCUACUCCUCCAUCGUUUCUUUAAUUUUUAUGCCUCAUGUGAAAAGUAUCGAGUCAAUCACAUACUUCAGUUCAUGGUAUAAUAUUAUUACAUUUCUUUCGUGGAUAUUUUCCCCAUUCAUCCCUGGUUUCCAUUUCCGUUACCUCUCCUUUCACAUAUUCAUUCACUAUAAGGCAUUACAUAUAUAUCCUUGUCUAAAAAUGUAAUAUUGUCAAAUGUAAGUUAUUAUUUGGUAUAUCAUAUGUUUCACAAAUAGUAUUGUGCAAUAGACCUUGCUCUAGUUAUUAUGUUUUGUAUUCACCAGUGUGUUCUAAAGACCCAUCUGUAUCUGUUAUAUAUGUAGGUACACUUGGUUCAUUGCUUCUAACUGAUCCUUGGUAUCCCGUAGUGUGCAUUCAUCCCUGCUCUGGAUACAGUCAGCUCCCAAAUUCCAUAAACAACUCCUUUGUAAGUAACCUCCUUUUGACAGGGGGUAGAAUUGCUCAGGGUCCAGAUGCUCCCAUUAUUAUCUGUUCCUCACCCUGGCCAGGCUGUGGCACUGCCCUGAUAUUAUCCCAUCACCUCCGUGUAGCAGAUAUUUUGUCUCAAGGUGGUUCCAGGCCAGGCGAUUAUCUGCCAAGGACAGUGGUUAGAGAGAGGAAACAGCCUGCAACUCUGCCUGCACCAUGUCCUAACAGUGACUUUCUCUGCUCAGCCUAUGGUUUACCCACAGCAGGUCACAGCCACCCUUUCUCUCUGCCCAGUGGUUUCUUAUGGUUUUUACCUAGAUUUACGUCGACUUGCAGAUCAGUACACUCCUCUCCUGCUUCUGAGGCAACAUCAGGGUUGGAAUUUGUGGAGUUCCUUAUAGUCUUCAUAAUGCUAAUCACUACCUGAAAUUAUCAUCUUUUUAAUUGGUUUACUUGCUUAUUGUCUGUCUCCCUCACUGUAAGACUGUAAAUGCCACAUGAGCAAGGACCUUAUCUGAACACCUUCCUAGGUUUGGGGAUAUCCCACCACAUGCAUACCACUGAGGGGCAGAGAUGCCUUCCAGUGUAGAAACAGCUAGGACCAUAUAGUCACAGCCCCAGGCAGCUUCACAGCUAAGGCACGGGCAUUCCUUCUCUAUUUGGCCAUCAGACCGACCUGUGAAUCCCAAGUUGGAGAAAUGAAGUCACCAAGGCAGUGGAGAAUUCAGUGGUCGGGGCAGCUGUAGUGGCAGCAGUAGUGCCUGUGGCAACAGUUUCAGGAGUAGCAGUUGGUAUCCUGCCUCCAAAGACAGAAUGUAGGUCCACCAGCAGCACCGCCUUUACCAGACUGGUACUAGGACCUAAUUUUGGAAGUGGUUCUUCCUAUCGAGACUUUGGGCUACCUAAUAUCCUUUCAACAAAUUUGUUAUUUCCUAAAUCAGUCAGAAUCAACUUUUAGUGUGUAAACUGAGAACCCUCAGUAGAACUAUUAGCCACAAUGUCCGCUUUUAUUGUCUAAGUCCAUUUGAGCUGAACUUUCUGUAACUUGAAGACAGAAGCUCCCUAACUCAGGGGUCCUCAACUCCCAGGCCACACAGCAGGAGGUCAGCAGUGGGCUGGCUAGCAGGGGAGGCUUCAUCUGUAUUUACAGCCGCUUCCCAUCACUCGCAUCACCGCCUGAGCUCUGCUUCCUUCAGAUCAGCAGUGGCAUUACAUUCUCAUAGGAGUGGGAACCCUAUUGUGAACUGUGCUUGUGAAGGAUCUAGGUUGUGUGCUCCUUAUGAGAAUCAAUGCCUGAUGAUCUGUCACUGUCUCCCAUCACCCACAGAUGGGACUGUCUAGUUGCAGGAAAACAAGUUCAGGGUUCCCACUGAUUCUACAUUAUGGUGAGUUGUAUAACUAUUUCAUUAUAUAUUACGAUGUAAUAAUAAUAAGAGUAAAGUGCACAAUAAACGUGAUGUGCUUGAAUCAUCCCCAAACCAUCCCCCACCCUUAUCCUGUCCAUGGAAAAAUUGUCUUCCACGAAACCAGUCCCUGGUGCCAGAAAGAUUGGGACAACUGCCCUAACUGAUGUAAGAGUAUGGGCAAUAAGUGUUUUCAGUGCACUGAGUGAUUAAAGAUUGUUGGGGCAGGGUGUGUGCAAGUUGAACUUAGCUCAGUGCAUCCACUGGCAAGGAGGUGGUAGCAGGAAAUAGGCAUGUGGUGACUUCAGUAACAGAGACGACUGCAGGGCUGACCUAAGCUUAGUAGCCUGGCUUCUCCGGGAGCUGAGGGUGAGCAUCAUGCCUGCUCCAUCUCCCUCUUUGUUGUGGAUAAGGCAGGUAGGAAGAAUGACGGAUUGCCUUACCCUUUCUAAUUGUUGUGUGCUCUCCAUACCCCACCCAAUCCUACUUCAACAUUGUCACCUAAGGAUUCACAAACCCACCCUUGUGCGAAUCCAGCCGUCUGUGUUCUAGACUGGCAAGGACCAUAUCUGAUUCUGAGAUGCUCAGGAAGGUGUGCUCCCAAUUGGCCCUUGUCCAGACUAGUUUACUUGCUGAGUAUCCCCAGGGCACAGGAACAAUCAUUUGGGGUUGCGGCUUUGUUCAUAGGGUCAUCAAGACAGGAGGAUAUGAGGCAGAAUCACCACACAAGCUAACCUGAUGUACAUAUGACAUUAAUCCAAUAGACUUAGGAAUAAGAUACAGGGGGUUUUCCUGAAUGAUUCGAGUAUAUCCCCAUUCAUAUUAAGAAAACAAAGUAUUGGCCAAGCGUGGUGGCUCACGCCUGUAAUCCCGGCACUUUGGAAGGCCGAGGCCAGUGGAUCACCUGAGAUGGACUCAACGACUCUCUUACCGUCCAGCUCUCAAGUCCCUUCUCUUGUGAAAAUGGAAAAGUUGAACUACAGUUGAGAUAUUAUUCCCAGGUGUUCUUUGGAACACAGGGGAUUUCUCCAAAAGGCACAGAACAAAUUGCCUCCAAACAGCCAAGAUUCCAGCAGAAGCUGGAGUAGCAGACUACUUGGAUCUUCAAAGUACCUGGCCCUGAGUCAGUUAAGGAAGAUCUUUUCUUCUCUUUUGUACAAUCCUAUGAUGAGAGCUGCAAAGUGAACUGACUAAGAGCUUCUGCCUUGAUCAUUGACCUCCCAAUCCUAAUAAUAUGUUCACUGGCCAAACUUCCUAAUCGAUUUGUCUUUUGGAUAUAACGUUCCUCCUACUGUUUGCCUGAUUGAGAAAUCUGCUACAGAACAUGACCGGUUAGCAUUCCCACCAACCCCAGUGCUACACUGACUGUCUUUCGAUGGACUUUGCUCCUUGCUGCCUCUCUGAGGUCCCAGACCUUCAGAGUGACCUUCACAGCUCUGCCUAACUUUCUGUCAUACUUCUAUCAAGAGAGACAGCUAAAUCAAUAUUUUUAAUGUGCUUUGCUGUCGGAAUUCGAUGAUCUGUCACAGUUCUUGCCCAAUACACCCCAUCAUUAUUGUUAAAAUGUUUUUAGCUUUGUUUGUAGAAUUGCUUUAACUGGUUUCAUCUCUGGGAGCUACACUUUGAAAUAUAACUUUAGCAACAUUUUACUAUACUUUUUCACAACCCAGAGCAGUACUAUUUUAUGCUUAGUGGUUAAACUAAUUCCAUAAAUCUUUUGCAACUAUCCUCUAUUCUUUUUCUUGUAAUUUUUACCUGGGAAGGUUUUUACUGAUAAUCAUCCUAUCCUGAGUCAUCCCACAAACCAAUCUGUCUCACUAAUCAUUGCUUCUAACCUACAGACUAAGCAUAACUUCUGCUAAAUGAUCUUUGAUAAGAUGCUAUGACUCUAUAAAGUCUUUGAUAUUCAUGUCUAAAUUUAAUCACUUGUAGAUUUUCAUAGAAUCAAUCUUUCACUUCUACAAUUGGGAGUAUUUAUAAGUUGUUUAUCUUAAACAGUUCCUCUAUCACGCUUUUCACGUUAAAUAAAGCAAUCCCUUCAAAUCAAUUUUCUGUCAUGUCUAAGAUGU